rnacentral:tRNA from 1 species
GGCGGCGUAGCCAAGUGGCAAGGCGGGGGUCUGCAAAACCCCUAUUCACCGGUUCGAAUCCGGUCGCCGCCUCCA